AGUGAACGCUGGCGGUAGGCCUAACACAUGCAAGUCGAACGGCAGCACAGUAAGAGCUUGCUCUUACGGGUGGCGAGUGGCGGACGGGUGAGGAAUACAUCGGAAUCUACUUUUUCGUGGGGGAUAACGUAGGGAAACUUACGCUAAUACCGCAUACGACCUACGGGUGAAAGCAGGGGAUCUUCGGACCUUGCGCGAUUGAAUGAGCCGAUGUCGGAUUAGCUAGUUGGCGGGGUAAAGGCCCACCAAGGCGACGAUCCGUAGCUGGUCUGAGAGGAUGAUCAGACACACUGGAACUGAGACACGGUCCAGACUCCUACGGGAGGCAGCAGUGGGGAAUAUUGGACAAGGGGCGCAAGCCUGAUCCAGCAAUACCGCGUGGGUGAAGAAGGACUUCGGGUUGUAAAGCCCUUUUGUUGGGAAAGAAAAGCAGCAGGUUAAUACCCCGCUGUUAUGACGGUACCCAAAGAAUAAGCACCGGCUAACUUCGUG
rnacentral:rRNA from 1 species